rnacentral:rRNA from 1 species
GAUGAACGCUAGCGGCAGGCUUAACACAUGCAAGUCGAGGGGCAGCACGGGUAGCAAUACCUGGUGGCGACCGGCGCAAGGGUGCGUAACGCGUGGGCAACAUGCCCUAUACAGGGGGAUAAUCCAGGGAAACUUGGUCUAAUAUCCCAUAGUAUUUAGAGGAGGCAUCUUCUAUAAAUUAAAGCUUCGGUGGUAUAGGAUUGGCUCGCGUGACAUUAGCUAGAUGGUGAGGUAACGGCUCACCAUGGCAAUGAUGUCUAGGGGUUCUGAGAGGAAGGCCCCCCACACUGGGACUGAGACACGGCCCAGACUCCUACGGGAGGCAGCAGUGAGGAAUAUUGGACAAUGGAUGGAAAUCUGAUCCAGCCAUGCCGCGUGCAGGAAGACAGCCCUAUGGGUUGUAAACUGCUUUUAUAUGGGAGCAAUAAGGUCUACGUGUAGACUGAUGAGAGUACCAUAUGAAUAAGCAUCGGA